UACAUGUGGGGCAAGCGUUGUCCGGAAUUACUGGGCAUAAAGGGUGCGUAGGUGGCUUGUUAAGUCAGGGGUGAAAGUUUUCGGCCCAACCGGAAAAUGGCCUUUGAUACUGGCGAGCUCGAGUGCGUGAGGGGUAACCGGAACGAGCAGUGUAGCGGUGAAAUGCGUAGAUAUUGCUCGGAAGGCCAACGGCGAAGGCAGGUUACUGGUGCGCAACUGACACUGAGGCACGAAAGCGUGGGGAGCAAACAGG
rnacentral:rRNA from 1 species